rnacentral:tRNA from 1 species
GCCGCCCUAGCUCAGCGUGGUAGAGCAGCUGACUGUUAAUCAGCUGGUCGUCAGUUCAAGUCUGACGGGCGGCGC